rnacentral:lncRNA from 1 species
GGAGCCGAGAGGAGCCCAGCGCCGGCCCAGCGGACUCCAGCUCGACGGAGCGGCCGCGCCCCGACCAGUUACUCCCCUGCUGGUGCCUCCCUCCUUGGCGCGCUUCCCACCUGCGAUCGGCGCCCUCUUCGCAGUCACGAACUCGCCAGCAGCUAGCAGCACUGACUAGUAGGAGGGCCCGCCGGAGGAGAGGACAUGCUCUGGAGUCAGAAGACAGCGAAAAGAGAAGCAGAAGCCCCGGUGGCAAGAGUCUGAAGGAAGGAUGACUGUAGCCUGUGGAUUGUACUGCAGUAGGAAACUGUCCUAGCAAGGCUCCACUUUGCCCCAGCUUCAAGCUGGAAAGGAGGAGAACAUGAAACAUUGCUUGAAGACAAUGGCCGAGACAGCAGGUCCCACCCUGCACAGCCACCAGCAUCUCUCCCCUCAGCCCUGUCUCCUCUUCUGCAGUUGGGAUCUGCACAUUUAAGCCUGAAAUUGUCCUGUGAAGUGAAGUAUGAUCGGACAGCCUCUUUUCAGCUUUUAUGACAAUGGAGACAGAGGAAUUGUGGCUCUUGCCAAGGUCACAGGAUUGGAAUACAGAGCCAAGCCACCCCAGGACAUGCAAGAGCCUCAGAAGGGAAAAAAGCCCAGCAGGAAGGGAGAACAAGUAGCCUCUGUCCUGAAGUUGUAACAGCCAGGGGCCAGGAUGGAGGAGGAGGACCCCAUAAUCUGCCCAUCUGGGACUUGGCAGGGGACCUGGGAAAAUGUACCCCAACCCAUCCCUUAAGGGCCUUUGUCUUUGGCCCAUUGGCCUAGCAUCUACUUCUUCACCGUGUCUGUUCUUGUCACACCUAGUCAGGUCUGUUUGGGUCUGAGGUGCAUGGAACAUUCUGGGUAGGCCUCCAGCAAACGGAAGCUCUUCACCGUGUUUCCAGCCUGGGACCAAGGGCAGCAUACUGGCAAAGUUGCCAAAGCAAGGGACUCCAGCCUCUUAGGAGUUAAUGACUCCCUCUCCCCAGCUGUCCUCCCCUUGGUGCUCCUCUUCCUCCCUCCUCCUGCUCACAGCAGGCAGGGCCUAGACCCGGGAGCCAUGCUGCUGUGCUGUUGCCAGGGGAGCACGGAGGCAGAUCUGAGCUAUGCAGGGAAAAGGCCCAGCCUGUCAAAGUGUCUGAGAUGAACCGCCGCCGUCCCUGUGCAGCUGGGCUCAGACGUGUCUCAGCUCUUGUUCUGUGCCUGAGAAUGGCGAAACCCAGUGAGGUUCAAGGGCAAACUCGCUAUUCAUUAGUCAGGGGUUCUUGACGUCCCGUCUCUCCCAGGGAUGAGUUCCCCCCUCCUCUUUCUCCCCCUCCUAUGACACAUUCCUGGGUGCCUUUGGUGAGGACUGCACACCCUCCUCCUGCCUAGCCCCCUCUCCAAAGGCCCCUGAAUAAACUCCCCCCAAGGAGACCAGGCAGGGCAGAGACAAUGGCUGCAGGAAAUCAUUCAGGCGGGACAUGCUGGCCUGCCCUCCACCCAGUCCCCCUGUGGGCCCCACUCCCUUCUGAUUCAGGGCACCCUUGGGCCCCCAGCCUAUACAGGCCUGGACAGGAAGAAACCACUGGGAACCACCCUAAGGACAACAUGCUAGUCCAGUGCCAUUCUUCGCUGGCUCUGUGGGUGCCUUUGUGGCCUGUACCGACUGGCUGGCUAAUUUUGUGGUUUCUGUACCAUCACAUGCCUAUUUUAAGACACUCUCCAGCACUGUCGGUUAGGGAGUGUAAAUUUUGCAAUAUUUUCUGAAAUGUGGCAAUAUCAAAAUGUAAAAGGCACACAUACUUGGUCACAAACAAAUGGCACUAUUUACUCUGUGGGCAUAUUUGUAAAAGUUGCCAAAGAAUUAUAUACAAGGAUGUUCAUCAGAGCAUUUCUUUUGAAGAGUAAAGAAAUGGACAUGAACCUGUGGUCCGUUCAUACGGUGGAAUACCUAUGCAGCUGUAAAAAUCAGUGUGGUAGAUCUCCGUAUAUGAGUUGAUGUGGAAGGUUGGCCAGUUCACAUGAUAAGGUGAAUAGAAUAAGUUACAGAACAGGCUGUAGAGUAUGAUCUUAUUUGUAGAUGUUUAAAACUGAGUCAUAAGUAUGCUUAUAUACAGAUCGUUUCUGGAAGUAUGUACUGGAAGUCUACCUCUGGGGAGUGGGGAUGGGGGAGUGCACUCUUCUAUACUGUUAUAUUUUCUUUUCAUGCUCCUAAGGUACUUUUAUUGGAAGAUGUAAAGCGGUUCAAUGUAAUAGGCUUAACUUCUGUCAACUAAGUUGGCGUGGGUGCUUUAAGAGGGUGGUAGUGAUGUUGCUGGAGAAAGUAUCCCACAGUCACUGGUGGCUUCAGCCACGGGCCAUUUUGGGGCCUAAUAAUCACAUAUCAUCAUGGUUGCUAGUGUUAAUCGAAAACCUACUAAGUGCCAGGCUUACUGUCUCUGGGUCUUGCUUACGUGGAUGUCAUUUUUCCAGUUGCACCAAAUCGAAAGAGGUUAAUUGGUUUGUUGGAGUUCCUUUGUAGGUGAAGGGCAGAGCCAGGAGCUUGGCUAGGGACAGGGGAGGUGAGUGGGGGAUGGUGGAUAGGUCUUGGCUCCCAGUUUCCUUCUGGGCAGACAUUGCCCCUCUGCCCUGAGGACCUGCUUGUUUGGGGGAAGAGGCCUUUAGAGGCACCAGGGUCAUGCCAGGUGUUGGACAUGGUGAACUGGGAAGUGCUCCCAUCUGGCCACAGCGCAGAAGUAUCACCGUGCUGGGGGAUGGGGAACAGGGCUGUGAAUGGGCCUAUUUGCAUAAGCAGCAUGUGUCUGGAGAGAAAGACAUCACAGAGCAGAAGAGUGCGGGUGCCCAGGAGUGCACUUGCCACCCCUACUUCAUCCCUGAAAGAGUAAAUGGCCUGGAAGGUGUCUCUGAGAGGUAAUGCCGCACACCACCCUCCCUGGGGGCAGGGUCAGGCUACACCUGCCUUAGGUCGGGGGCUGCAGCAGCCUGAGAGCUCUCAGUAGGGCCUCAGUAGCCUGGGAGGGAGCAGGGGCAGGGGGCAGGGAAAGAGGCGUAAUGGGGCUGUCCAGAGGGGCCUGGGAAACCUGGUCCCUGAGGCCUGGGCACAGCUACAAUCACUUCAAAUUGGCUGUGGGGCCAGUGGACUGGGAAGGAAAAAAGCAAUAAGAGUGACCAAGUGCAGAAGGCUGUCAGGUCCCAGGUCACAUGCCUUAGUGCAGUGACUCCUCAUCAUUUUAUGGGGUGUGGGUGUCGUUGGUACACCCAUUUUACAGAUGAGGACACCGAGGCCCAGAAAAGUUAAGUUACAUGUCCUAAGUCACACAGCUUGUAAGUGCCAGAACUGAGAUCAAAACCAAGUCUCUUUGACUUUAAAGUCUGUACUCUGACCCCAAAGAGAUCCUGUUUGGCCACUUAUAGGAGGUCCCUAAAGCUGCAGACUCCCCUUGCCGGCACCCACAUAUAGAGACAUUAACCCUUCCCCUGCAGGGUCACCUCAAAUAGUCUUUUAGCUGGGCUUCUCCUGCAAUUCCACCUAAUGCCAUCCCCUGGGUUUUGCCCAAACCUGAACUGGGCAGUGGGGUGAGAGGAGGGGUUUACAGGGUUACAGAGCCUCAUACAGAUAGGAGCCCAUGGCUGCUGGUCAUCUGCAUUCCUGCAGGAUUGGCUGUUCCUUGGGGUCCUUGGCAGGAAAAUGAGGAUUGCUCCGAGGCCUGCUCCAGUACUUCCCAGAGGCUGGCCUGGUGUGGGGCUCUGGGAAGGCUGAGGCUGGAGAAGCGUAAGUAGGAGGGCAGAGAUGGCACUCAGGUAGCUUGAAUCACCAGGACCCUUCCAAGCCCCACAGGUUCUGAGGGAGUACUAGGGCCAGCUCUGGGAGAGGUCUCUUCCUAUGCUGUGAACCCCCUGCCUUUCUUGCAGCCUACAACGAAUAAAUUUUCUUUGCAAAGGCUU